CCUACGUGAGGCAGCAGUGAGGAAUAUUGGUCAAUGGGCUUACGCCUGAACCAGCCAAGUCGCGUGAGGGAAGACUGCCCUAUGGGUUGUAAACCUCUUUUGUCAGGGAGCAACGCCGGCUACGUGUAGCCGGACUGAGAGUACCUGAAGAAAAAGCAGCGGCUAACUCCGUGCCAGCAGCCGCGGUAAUACGGAGGAUGCGAGCGUUCUCCGGAUUUAUUGGGUUAAAAGGGUGCGUAGGCGGAAUGCCAAGUCAGCGGUAAAAUCGCGGGGCUCAACCUCGCUCCGCCGUUGAAACUGGCGUUCUUGAGUGGGCGAGAAGUAUGCGGAAUGCGUGGUGUAGCGGUGAAAUGCAUAGAUAUCACGCAGAACUCCGAUUGCGAAGGCAGCAUACCGGCGCCCAACUGACGCUGAAGCACGAAAGCGUGGGUAUCGAACAGGAUUAGAUACCCGGGUAGUC
rnacentral:rRNA from 1 species